AACGAACGCUGGCGGCAGGCUUAACACAUGCAAGUCGAGCGGUAGCACAGAGAGCUUGCUCUCGGGUGACGAGCGGCGGACGGGUGAGUAAUGUCUGGGAAACUGCCUGAUGGAGGGGGAUAACUACUGGAAACGGUAGCUAAUACCGCAUAACGUCGCAAGACCAAAGUGGGGGACCUUCGGGCCUCAUGCCAUCAGAUGUGCCCAGAUGGGAUUAGCUAGUAGGUGGGGUAACGGCUCACCUAGGCGACGAUCCCUAGCUGGUCUGAGAGGAUGACCAGCCAAACUGGAACUGGGACACGGUCCAGACUCCUACGGGAGGCAGCAGUGGGGAAUAUUGCACAAUGGGCGCAAGCCUGAUGCAGCCAUGCCGCGUGUGUGAAGAAGGCCUUCGGGUUGUAAAGCACUUUCAGCGGGGAGGAAGGCGUUAAGGUUAAUAACCUUGGCGAUUGACGUUACCCGCAGAAGAAGCACCGGCUAACUCCGUGCCAGCAGCCGCGGUAA
rnacentral:rRNA from 1 species